CAGUAGCCGCGGUAAUACGAAGGGGGCUAGCGUUGCUCGGAAUUACUGGGCGUAAAGCGUGCGUAGGCGGUUCGUUAAGUCUGCUGUGAAAGCCCCGGGCUCAACCUGGGAAUGGCAGUGGAUACUGGCGAGCUAGAGUGUGUCAGAGGAUGGUGGAAUUCCCGGUGUAGCGGUGAAAUGCGUAGAUAUCGGAAGGAACACCCGUGGCGAAAGCGGCUCACUGGACCAUAACUGACGCUGAGGCGCGAAAGCUAGGGGAGCAAACAGGAUUAGAUACCCCUGUAGUCCCUGUCUCUUAUAC
rnacentral:rRNA from 1 species